CGCGGGGUGGAGCAGUGGUAGCUCGUUGGGCUCAUAACCCAAAGGUCGCAGGUUCGAAUCCUGCCCCCGCAA
rnacentral:tRNA from 1 species